rnacentral:misc_RNA from 1 species
CAACCCUCAAGCUCUGCUUGGUGUUGGGGCGCUGCCGCCCUUCUACGGGGAGGCAGGCCCUGAAAUAUAGUGGCGAGCUCGCCAGGACUCCGAGCGUAGUAGUUUACAACCUCGCUUAGGAAGGACUGGUGGUGCCCUGCCGUAAAACUCCCUAAUUUCUGAAAAG